AUUGAACGCUGGCGGUAGGCCUAACACAUGCAAGUCGAGCGGAGCGGCGGACGGGUGAGUAAUAUAUGGGGAUCUGCUCGAUAGAGGGGGAUAACUACUGGCAACGGUGGCUAAUACCGCAUACUAUCGGAUGAACCCUUAUGGGAUUAGCUAGUGGGCGGGGUAAAGGCCUACAAAGGCGACGAUCCGUAACUGGUCUGAGAGGAUGAUCAGUCACACUGGAACUGAGACACGGUCCAGACUCCUACGGGAGGCAGCAGUGGGGAAUAUUGGACAAUGGGCGAAAGCCUGAUCCAGCCAGGCCGCGUGUGUGAAGAAGGUCUUCGGGUUGUAAAGCACUUUAAGUUGGGAGGCGUUACCAACAGAAUAAGCACCGGCUAACUUCGUGCCAGCAGCCGCGGUAAUUC
rnacentral:rRNA from 1 species